GGUGAUUGGAGGAUAGGCCAGUUAGACCCACCCAGCCUUCAGAAUAUGCACAGUGCCUUGAUGGGAAGCCUCUUUCUGCAGAGCCUACUGGGCUAGCGGUGAGCCUCUCCAGACCACGGACAGAAAACCUCUGGAAGUGCUGAAAAUCUCAGCAACAAGGGGGCGCUGUAACUAAAUGCUGGCAGUCAGAGAUCCCAAAGGAAUUAACUGUGGAUUCAAGGACUCAGUCUUUGGAAACUCAAGUCAACAAAUAUUUGUUAUCAAAUGUAAGAGAUGCUAAAAUGGAGGAAUAUACUCUGCACUAGGAACAAAGAAAUACAUAUGUAUGGGAGGAAAUCAGAGAAUGCCUCACAGGAGUCUUGAGGCAGAGGAGAGUGGAAAGGGCUUCAUAAUGAGAAAGAAGAGAAUGUGCUAGACGUGUAAUUGGGAAAGGGUAUAGAGCAUAUUCUAGAACCAAUCAUAGGAUAUGUGGGGGGAGUGGUACAGCCAGGUUUUCUAUCUCAGGUCCUGGAACUAAGUCUAGGGGUUCUUUUCAUUUAUGUUACCACUGUUGAUAAAUACAAGGUGUGUUAACCAGGGUAGACUGAUGAAACCAGUAUCUCAGUGUUUUAACACA